rnacentral:lncRNA from 1 species
CCAUUUCGAUGAAGUCGUCAUGGUUGCCAUUAAUCAGGAACAGCUUCACAAGUUGGUGGUGAACCAAUCUUGUUGGUGAGUCACUGGUGCGUACUUGUAGAGGUGAAAAAUAGGACAUAAAAGAACUAACUUUACUGUUCUGAGCGGGAACAUUCGUGUCUAGAAUCAAACGGUUAAGCUUUAAACGAUCACAAGGAUCACUGACACCAGAAACUUUUCUUUUCCCCUCACUGAGUAACAAAUGAGUAGAGCUCAGCAAUAUCACCUGCGUAGCAUGAACAAAUGUUAUGCUCCUCAGUAGGCCUAGCCAGUAGUUUUUUACUCCCCGGUCCCUAAAUACUUUUCGUGUGUGUUUUUAUUACGUUUUUCAACACACACUUUUGAUUAUUAAUAUCUUUAAUUUCAUAUUAAUAUUAAAUAUAAAAAUUUCACCGUAUUAAAGUAUUCAUAAAUAUGAAACCAAUAAUAUCACUAAUGACUAUAUUUAGUCUUAUAGAUAUAAGGAAAUGAGUAAUUUGUCUUAUUUCGUGAACAGUCGUGAUUUAUCAAAUGAGAAAAAAUUUUAGAGACGGAGGGAAUAAUAUUUUUAAGAAAAACAUCAAAUAAAACGCAUUUAGAAAGUAGAUUAUUAGGAAUGGCGCAUGAUUCCCACCGAGAGAACAAAAACUGAUAAAGUGAUUAGUUACCUUCCCAAGCACAUGCUGAGCAGCUACAUUACCCGCUUCAGAACAUUUAACUAGUAGGCCUUUGACAUUUAGGAAAUCGUAAAAGUUCACGGAUUCCAUCUCAAUAUUAAAAUUUAUAACGCUCAAAACGGAUACAUCUUUUGCAUACAAAUGAAAAUCUCUACAACUGCAACCAAAAUAUUGACAGAGACAUGUUAGAGACCUUGUGUAUGUAAAGUAUGUAUAAGAUCUUUCCGUUUCACUAUAAAAAACCAUAAACUACUCUGCCCACAUGCCAAUAUAUUUAUGUAUUAAUAAUGUAUACUUGAAAUUACUAUUAAAGAAAACAUAAAAAAUUAUUGCUUAAGGUAAGAAUAAAAGUAAACAAAUGAUUAAAGUUUCGUAACAAGGACGACCAAAGUAUGACCAAAGGCUGAAAAUAAGAUUUACCAAGAGUAUAGACCCGCAUUUGUGGUCUCUAUACUCUUUUCUUUUCUUUUCUUUUUUCUUCAAAAAAAAAAGUAUAGAGUCCACAAAUACGGGUCUCAAUUAUGCAGCUCCCUAUUCCCUCAAUUGGCAAUCGGCCAAUUUCUCAUAAAAUCGUAUUACCGAAUGUGGUACCCAAUUUACAAGAGAGCACCCAAAAGAAAGUAACAAGUAUACCCAUUUUCAAAUUUGUAUAAAUUAUUAUAAUCAUAUUGUACUAUAAUCUAUAUAAAAUUAUCACAGGGUGAUAACCAAACGCAAAUAUCUUACACAGAGAUAAUUCUGGCGAAAUCUGCUGCUCCACCUGAGGACUUCACCAACAGAAAUAUGAUAUAAUACACAAGCGCACAGGGUAAGUCUGUGAUCGUCGUCAUUGCCUACAUAAUUCAAGUUGAGAGUACAAUUAAUUUUUUAAAAAACAUAAAGAACUGAAUUUUAGUGGCCCACUAAGUGAUAAAAACACCAGGGAACUAGUCUACACUAAAUUGAUUCAUACAUUAUUAUAUUAAAUGAUCGAAAUUUAAAAUUUUUAAUUCAUAUAAAUCCACCAUGUGCCCUAUAAGCAUUGUUUUGGCAAGACCACCUCUAAACUCAUCUUCUGUGUCAAUCUAUGGAUUGGUCUUGUUCUACUUGUUCCAUGAAAAUUGUUUCUCUUCUUCACAAAGAUUAUAAUGAUGGAUUAAAAAAACAUCAAUGCUAUUUAUUCUAAUCUUAUUUUAGAAAGAAACUAGCAUCUCUGAGUUACUAUGAUGCAUAUUGAAAAAACCAAAUGCCUUCUAGAUACUAUUUCGAGCAAAUUAGUGUCUUAACAUUGAAAAAAAAAACGCCUUUUAAUUUGAUAAAGAGUUCCCUCGCCAAAAACACAAAUUAUGACAAGUACCUUUAUCAAGUAGCUAAAAAAAUCUUCAUCAUUAUUAGUCCGCACCACAUAAAAUUUAGAAUUAUAUUUCUUGAAUAUCAAAAAUUGACUAGUCAAUAUAGAAUUGUCCUUAUCAUUUUUUAACAUUUUUUUCACUGCUUGACACGCACUUUAAUGCAUCUAAAUUUAUAUUCAGAAUAAGAAAAUUAUUUAAAAAAACUAUAUUUUUUAGGCGCAUUAAAAUGCGUUACACGCCCCCGUCCCUUAAUGUUAAUAAUUGAGAGAGACGGAGGGAAUAAUAAAAUGCAUAACUCUUACUUUAACGUACAUCUAAAAUAUAAAACAUUAGGCAUCCAAAGACCACCACGACAAACACAAGAUCCCGUGCAGAUCGUUGUAAUCCGGCCACAUAUUAAAUGAUAGUUUGGAUCACACAUGAUAUAGACUAUCAUUUCGAUGUGUCCUAUCAAAUGCUCACACGAAACCGUAGACAUAUACUUUAUAUAAUUGAUAAUAACCUCAAAAGUCCUAAGAUAAUUAUAGAGUUCGAAAUAAAAUUCACAUAAUUGUGUAUGUCACAAAUAAAAAUUCAAUGAUGGUCAUGAUUUCAUAGCAGAACUGAUCAGUAUCUAGUAAAGUUAUCAGGAUCCGGAGAUCAGUAUGGAAAGCUAGUCAGUAACUGAUGUGAUCAGUAACUGAUGCAUAUCAUGUUUACAGAAAAGAUAUAUCUUACAGACAGAAGCCAGCACAUGGAUUAAUUUGUUUUACGGAUUUACAGGAUCGAAACUAUCAGUUAGGAUAUUUAUGGAAACUAAUAGAAAUCAGCUUGAACACAUAUUGUAAUUGAUAGGAUAGAUGUGUGCUAUAUAAGCACAGUUUUAGGUUUGCGUAAUAGCAAGGUUUUUACUCGAAUAUUUUGAUAACCUAGUAGGUCUCAAGAAAGAUUGUUUUUCUUGGGAGAGUUUUGUAAUAGUUUUAUUUGUGAUCAAUAGAAGUUGAUUUGAGAAGUUACAUAUUUGUGUUCAUUAUUUGUUCUUAAGUCGAAAAGUUAUACUUAAUCGUAUUCAACCCCCUUCUACAGUUGAUUCUUGUUCAGGCAACAAGUGAUACCAGAGCAGGCUGAUAAACUCCUAUCAGUAAAGAUCGAAAACAUGUCGACGAACAAAUAUGAAAGCAUAAAAACAUCCGUAUUGAAGAAAUCUGAAUAUGCAAUGUGGAAAGUCAAAAUCAUGAUGUAUCUAAAAGCAUCAGAUCCUGACUACCUUGACAGAAUUUUUGAUGGUCCAUAUGUUCCCAAGAAACUGGUUUCACAAGUUGAUGGUGUACAUGAACACUAUGGGAAGAAGACGAAAUUUGAGAUGACGCUUAAGGAGAAGACUGAAUUUCUCAAGGAUGCCAAGGUCAGAACUAUUUUCCAUAACAGUUUAGACUCCGUAAUGUCUAAUAGAGUUAUAGCACUCUAAACGGCCAAGGAGAUCUGGGACACAUUGGAAACUCAGUGUCAUAGAAUUGAGUCAAUCAAUAAAAAUUGGAGAGCGCUGUUGAUCUAAGAGUAGGAACAGUUUGAAGCCAAGUCUGAUGAAAGUCUCACCGAUAUGUAUGACAAGUUUUUAACUCUUCAUAACAACUUAUCUCUAGUUGGUAAGGUGUGUGAGCUAGAGGAUUUGAGAUCUCUUUCUAAAGAUUGAGAUACUCAAACUUCAAUUAUCAUACAGCAAUAUGAUCUGAAUAAUGUGUCACUUGAUGAAAUUUAUGGAAUGCUUAGAACUCAUGAUCUUGAAGUUCAACAAAGGAGAAAUAAGAGAAAUUCAAAGGCCAAGUCAACAGCCUUGAAAGCUGAGAUCAGAUCUAGCGAACCAAGCAGAUUGAAGAAAUUUAUGAGGAGUAUUGUUCAAGUAAAUAUAUAUCAUAAUUGUUGUAUUUACGAGCUCAAUUAUUUUUAAAAUUUUAAAGAGUAUACCAUGAGACUCUUAAGAUCGUUUUAGAUCCCUAUAAAUUUGGUUGAGAAAUCUAUAAAAUUAAUGUACUCUAUAUUCGCACAAAAUCAAAAUGAACCUAGAUUUUUGAAGCCCUUAGUCAAUUGUACAUCUAAUGACAAUUGAUUAUAUAAUUAAAAUCAUGAUAGCUAAUGACUCAAUCAUAUAUCUAUGAUUAUACUUGGAAAUAACUCAAUAUCUUAUUAAAUUAUAUCUUCAGUAACAAAACUCACCAUAUAUAUAGUGCUACACAGAUGAUAAUGAUUAGAUAAGAAACAUAAGAUUGAUAAAUUUGCAUAUAGUAAGAAAGAUUAAUAAAUGACAAAAUAGAUAUAUGAGAAAGAGAAUAGAGAUCUCACAAAUGAGAAAAGUUUCUCAAUGGGCGAACAGUACAAGGUUCGUCGUCGAUGUCUCACGAAAAUGUGCCGAAAAGAAAAGAGAUGUGGAGACUUCAGUUUUAACUUUUAUUUAUAAGGGAUCAAAGUUUUAACAAUUGGGCUGAUUUUAAAUUUUUCUAUCAAACAUUGGACCCGGUCAAUUUUUUAAAGUUUAGCCCAAGCCUUUUUUGAUUGAAAACAUUUUAAUUCAGAUAUUUUUAGAGUUUUGCACCUCAACAAUUAUACUUUAUCAACAUGACCCCAAUAUUUUUAAGGCGUCGCUUAAGGCGAUAAGUCACGGAUAAUCAUCCAACCAUCUUCAUUACAGAGGAUAUGCACCUUACGAAUUAGGCGCUAAUUAUAUAUCUAUGUACAUCUAAUGACAAUUGAUUAUAUAAUUAAAAAUAUGAUAACUAAUGACUUAAUCAUAUAUCUAUGAUUAUACUUGGAAAUAACUCAAUAUCUUAUUAUAUUAUAUCUUCAGUAACAAAACUCACCAUAUAUAUAGUGCUACACAGACCAUAAUGAUUAGAUAAGAAACACAAGAUUGAUAAAUUUGCAUAUAGUAAGAAAGAUUAAUAAAUGAUAAAAUAGAUAUAUGAGAAAGGGAAUAGAGAUCUCACAAAUGAGAAAAGUUGCUCAAUGGGCGAACAGUACAAGGUUCGUCGUCGAUGUCUCACGAAAAUGUGCCGAAAAGAAAAGAGAUGUGGAGACUUCAGUUUUAACUUUUAUUUAUAAGGGAUCAAAGUUUUAACAAUUGGGCUCAUUUUAAAUUUUUCUAUCAAACAUUGGAUCCGGUCAAUUGUUAAAGUUUAGCCCAAGCCUUUUUUGAUUGAAAACAUUUUAAUUCAGAUAUUUUUAGAGUUUUGCACCUCAACAAUUAUACUUUAUCAACAUGACCCCAAUAUUUUUAAGGCGUCGCUUAAGGCGAUAAGUCACGGAUAAUCAUCCAACCAUCUUCAUUACAGAGGAUAUGCACCUUACGAAUUAGGCGCUAAUCUGGGGAGUACUUGUUAUGACCGUUUUUGGUCAAGGUAAUAGGGGUAGGGGCGCGCCUUUACCGGGUGUUUUCACUAGAGGCGCGGCCCCUUGUCGCAAUAUGAUGAUGCAGGGUCUGAAGGUGAGGAAAGGGCGCGUCCCUCGGGAGGGCGCAUCCUUAGAAGAAAAUAUGUUGUGUUAACAUAAAUAAUAGUUAUAGAGAAAUAAGUGAUAAUGUAGUGAUAACCCUUCCGGGGGAUACGAAGACCUACCCUUCCGAGGGACAAAAAGACUAGUUGCCGGGCUCAUCUGAUAGUUCUCGGGAUCAUCCGGGCAUGGUCUACAACCCUCAAUCCUGCUAUCUGCCGAGUUAACCCACGUGUAGGGGCUUGAGGUGAUCAUGGCUCUUGAAGGCCCUCCGGGGUAACACGAAGGCCGAUCGUAUGUCUGAAUCUUAUAUUCUGAUGAGUUCGCCCUCAUUGGGGGAUUGAGACGAUCGUGUAAUUUGGCUCCUCAUUUGCCUUGCCUCAUGGUGAAGACCUCAUCGAGAGGUGAUGACGCGUCCCUACACCUUAAGGAAUGGUCAUGGUCCUCCCAGAUGAAUCCUUCAUGUCGCAAAGAGUCGUGGUUGGUGUUGUCUCUCGUAGUGGAGAUAACGUUGUAUCCGUGAUAUACUUGGACUAGGAGUCUGAGGUAGUCGGCCUCAAGACUAAUUCUAACUGGAGUAGGAUUUUAAGAGAUAAGUCACAGGCUUAAGAUUGAUCUUAUCACCGAGAAGCCUAGUCCUGAUCAAACUAGGAGUCUUGGUUUAAUCGAACUACGUACGGCUUGUUCCCUUAUAUAAAGGGGUAUGUAGGCACAUCGGGGGAUAUAUCGAGAGUUGUGAGAACGAGAGCAGAAAUAUAUUCCUUUGAUCUCAGCCACUCUUAAAUACCUAAAACCACCACCCACGACGGAUUAUCGUCAUAUAAACACCAUACUACACCUAAUUCCGGCAACGAACCUCACGUUUGGUGAUUCACCAAAUUCCUCUAUCAAUAAUAACUAACUUUCUUUGAAGAUAAAAUCUUCUAUCUCACAACUACCUCCCCUUUUGCUAGUUCAGGAGAUUGCCUCUUUGUAAUCUUUUCACUAAUUAUUUUCACACAACCUCACAUGAAAAGCUCAGUCUCUCAACAAAUUAAAGAAAUAAGAGGUGGCAAAGAAAAAGGGUAGUCAGUCAUAUAAAUAGGGGUUUCUUUUAUGAUAAAAGAUCUCCUUAGUUAUAAUCAUCCUGAAGAGAUAUUGUACCUUUGAUAAGUUUUUCCAGAAAUUUUCAUACCAUCAGUAUUUGAGGAACCGUCAGUAACUCAUAUAUUACCAUCAACAUACACUUUCUGGUUGCUAGUUCACAUUGAGAAUCAGGUGCUUGUGUGCCCUGGAGCAUUAUGAUCAGCAUCCGUUUCAAUUUAAGAAACAGGUUCUUGUGGAACUGGCUCCAGCUUCUGCUUAGUCUGCUACAUCACAUUAAGAUGCAGAUUCUUGUGGGAUUUGAGGCUCUGUGUGAUCUGAUUCACCACUUUCAGGUAAAGGUUCUUGUCUGAUUGCCUCAUUUGUAGUCUGUAUGUCCUAUAAUAUCGAACUCGAAAAUCUGUAGCUUGUAUCACUUGUCUUCAAUCUCCUUGUAGAAUGAGAAUAUGCUUCUCUUGUGUAUAACGAUCCCUUAAGCAUAGUCUGAAAAAUCAUAAUCAAUUGAUUUCAGAUAACCACAUUCAUCAAUCAGUAUCAAACAAACACCCUUUGAGACAUAUUUGUCAGGAACUCCAUCAGUAAUCAUAUCAAGAUCUGAUAAAUUUGAUCAGGACCUGACAAUUUGUCAAAACUUUAUCCGGAUCUGAUAUACACGUUCCAUUGACAUUCAUCUUUAAAUAGAAUACUCUUUCUCUGUGUAGGAUUGUUCUUGAAUAUCACUCAUCUCACAAGUAGAUAUUACAACUGAAAUAUUUUGAGAUAAAUCAGAGGUGGAUAUGUGUUUGAUUGUUUUUUUAUGAUGAUACUUUGGUUAAAAACAAGAUGUGUAAUGUCUUAUUUCAUAGUAUCGAUAGCGGUUAAUUUAUCAUCGAUUUUUUAUGAAGAUAUUUGAUGUAACAGUAACCAUUUGUCAAAUAAAUUGAGCUUGUGUUUGAAUCACACAUGAACGAUAAAGUUCAAUUCAAACCGAAUUCUAACAAAACUGAUCAACAAUACAAUUGUAUAGUUUGUAAAAGAAGUCCCAAUAUCUGGUAAAUAGAGCUUCGACCUCCUUAACGACUUUCAGUUUUCUUUUCAUCAGUACUUCAGUGUUCUUGACAUCACUAUUAUUCUCAAAACUUGUGAUCUUGAACUGUACUUCGCUAUUCAAAACAACUUAAACAACAUCAUAACAUUUUUCAAAUUAAAGUAAGAUCAUUAAUUGAAUCAUUCUGUUCAGCAUACGAAUUUAAAACUUAAACAGAAUAUGAACAGUUUCUUUGAGAACAUAAUCAAAUAAUUAUCUAAAUAGUUCACACAACACAAUCAUCAAAAUAAACUUUUAGAGGUAGACUAAAAACCCUAGCCUAAGAUUCUAAUUGAUUUUUGGUUACUAAAGGUAGAAAGGGAUCGAUUAUGUCAUGAUGAGCAAACAUAGUAGUUUCCAGGAAGGGGUAAAGUUGAAGUUUUAUAAGACCCAAAUAUUUAAAAAAUAAAAUAACUAAGGAACCCUAACUUCUAAGAGUCAGUAGUGUCCUUCAUUUUCUUCUUCUUCGGACCCGCAUCUUUUCCUUACAACUCCCAGCGGCAAUAGAUCUUAGACAUAGAGCUGGAAAGAGAGAUGAUAUUCUCUCUCAACUCUAAUGCCUCUAUGUGGCGUCGCUCUGCUUCCUCCUCUCUUCGUCUUUCUUCAAGACGAGUCUCCAGUUUGAAGAACUGGAGCUCUAAAUAAUCUCCCAUGAGAGAUUAUCAACAGCUGAUUCUGGAAGGAUGAUAAGCCUGACCGUCCACGUGCACCUUAAGUGCGAAAGGGUCGUAGUAAAUACUUCCUUGGAAUACAUUACGAACCAGGAAAUAGGCACCGUUUUGGCGAUGAUAAAGUUGAAUGUGAGCCAUUUGGGUGUUUAGAGUUGUAGAGAGAUUUAGAGGAUGUAUUUAUAGAUGAAUGAGACGUGAGAAACUUCAGAGUUUAUAUAGAAAAUCGUGUUUUAAUAAAGGUAGCAUGCAUAUUUUUACACAAAUCUAUGCAAAUAAAAGUAAAUCAUCUUAAAAUACUGCUAUUUCCAAAAUUAAAAGAAUGCUGAUAAUAGAUAUAUCAAAAUAAGUCUUUCAGAUCAAAUCAAAGUUACAACUAAUUUAUUCCUUAACACUAGCAAUAUAAUAUACAUCAAAACAAAAAAUUCUACUUGCAUUCUUUAGAUUUUAUUUAAAUAUUUGAUUCUUCUUAAACAUAUUUAAGUGUGUAGGAGCAAGUAAAAUCCUAAUAGCUUCCUCAUAAAUAUAAUUAAAAAUUUUAAAAGGGAAACCUCGUAAUUUAGGAUAAUACUUUUCCAUAUCAACUCCAACACAAUCCUUACAUUUGUUCCUUAUUAAAAUAAUGAUACAAAUUUCAACUCAAACUAUAUUUUGCAGAGAAAAAAGAAGUGUAGAAAAGGGGGGGGGGGGGGUUGAAUAAUAUCUUAAUAUAUACGAAAUAGGAAUGGCUAUUGCUUCCUCAAAGAUAAGGAAUGGCUAGAGGUCGUUGAUAUCUCAGUCAACCUUUAAGACAUUGUUGGAGCAUUGUAUUUUCUAAAUCAUAACUUAAGAGACUAUACAACGGAAGCUGUUGGACUUGCUCCUAAAAAAUAAAAGUACUGCCAUCAGACAUGUUUAAGAAAUGGAGCAUUUAUACUUCAAUAUGAGUAACAAUAAAUAUAAAAAUAUUUUUACAUAAGUAUUUUUCGAUGCACAAUUAGUAGCACCAACUGCGAGAAUUGAGGCAAACAAUAUUUAAACCCUAAGAUGCGUAUUUAUUUGUAAAAUUAUUAACAUAUAACUACAAGAAAAACCGGGGUAUUUUUUUACCGAUUAUUUUUUACCAGUUUAUUUUUGACCGGUAACAAUCAAAUUUAAGGUCAAACUUGUAUGGCAUCAAGUCAAAGUUAAAAUUGACCGACUAUUUUUCACCGCUUUCAUAUUUGAACACAAACGGUCAAAUUUAACCGGUCAAUUUAACAUGGCGGAUCCCACAAAAAUAAGGAGUGAAUUGUUUAUUAUACAAUCGGUCAUAUAUAGUAUGCGGGUCCCUCAAAACAUUGGAGGUAAAAUUCCCUCCACAAAAAUUAGCGGUGACAUCAUUAUUUUUUACUGCCUUCGUUCAAAAAUGAAUUCGGCCAAAUUUAACUUUGGGCGGCAAAAUUUCCCGCUUGAAGUGGUGAAAAAAAUUUGAAUAAUAAUUGACUAAUUUUGGUCAAAUUUAUAAAUUUGAUCGUUGGCAGUCAAAUUUAGUCAAGUGAUUUUGGAAAAAUAGUUAAAAGAUUUCAAAUUUAGUCAUGUGAUUUAGUAAUGAACCUCCAACCGUACGGAUGUUAAGAUUUAUUGAUUUUAGUCUUGUGAAAAAAUAAUUAAAAUAUUUGAAAUUUGACUUGCAUGACUUUAUAAGAAAAAUCUAGUAAGAAGUACUACUACUUCAAAUGAGAUUCAUUUCUUAUUAACAAAAUAUUUCUUGAAUGAUUUUUUCAACGAUUCAACCAUACGAACGAUUCAACCAUACGGAUGUUAAGAUAUAUUGAUUUUAAUCAUAUAAAAAAAUAAUUAUAAGAUUUGUAAUUUUACUUGCAUGACUUUAUAAGAAAAAUCCGAUAAGAAGUACUAGUACUCCUUAAAAUGAGAUUGAUUCCGGAUUAACAAAAUAAAUUAUUAAAUGAUUUUUUCAACGAUCCAACUGUACGGAUGUUAAGAUAUAUUGAAUUUAGUCAUGUGAAAAAAUAAUUAAAAGAUUUUAAAUUUGACUUGCAUGACUUUAUCAGAAAAAUCCAGUAAGAAGUAAUACCCCCUUAAAAUGAGAUUCAUUCCGGAUUAAUAAAAUAACUUUUUUAAAUGAUUAUUUCAAUGAUCCAACCACGCGGAUGUUAAGAUAUAUUUAUUUUUCUCAUGUAAAAAAUAAUUAAAAAAUUUGAAAUUUAACUUGCAUGACUUUAUAAGAAUUUUUUUUUUAAGAAGUACUACUCUUUGAAAUAAGAUUCAUUCCCGUUUAACAAAAUUAAUUAUUAAAAUGAUUUUUUCAACGAUCCAACCAUACGGAUGUUAAAAUAUAUUAAUUUUAGUCAUGCGAAAAAAUAAUUACAAAAUUUGAAAUGUGACUUGCAUGAUUUAUAAGAAAAAUCCAGUAAGAAGUACUACUCCUUAAAAUGAGAUUCAUUCCUAAUUAACAAAAUAAAUUAUUAAAAUGAAUUUUUCACGAUCCAACCGUACGGAUGUCGAGAUAUAUUGAUUUUAGUCAUGCAAAAAAAAUAAUUAAAAGAUUUGAAAUUUGACUUACAUGAAUGUAUAAGAAAAUUCCAGUAAGACGUACUACUCCUUAAAACGUGGUUCAUUCCUGAUUAACAAAAUAAAUUAUUUAAAUAUUUUUUUAACGAUCCAGCCGUGCGGAUGUUAAAAUCUAUUGAUUUUAGUCAUGUGAAUUUUUUUUAAAAGAUUUGAAAUUUGACUUGCAUGACUUUAUAAGAAAAAUGCAGUAAGAAGUACUACUCCUUAAGAUAUCUUUGAAACUAAUCUAUUUAAUUUAUUUGACCGAAAUCGGUCAAAUUUAUAUUUUUGGACCAGCGACGGUCAAAUUUGCGUUCAAAUAAUUGCAAUUAGUUUCUGAGGGAAUUUUGCCGCCCAAAGUUAAAUUUGACCGUCUUUAAAUUUGACUGCCCGCGGUCAAAUUUGGCUAACUUUGACUGCCAAUCGUCAAAUUUACUGUCAUGUCAGCAAUUCACGUGAAACACAUCUAAUGGUACUUAUUUAACAUACCAACACAAUAAUCUAACGGUCUAAAAUCAUCACAACAUAUCCUUAUCAUAUAUAUACAUAAAAACACACAUUAUAAUCAAAAUACACACUCGAUUCUCCAAAUCUCUCUCUCUCCCCCUCCCCAUCCUCAUCCUCAUCUCCAUCUCCCCCUCUUCCCCUGUUUUAAAUACACAUUCAUAACCAUAUAUAUUCAUACAUUCUCAAUCUUUCUAUCCACAAAACAAGAUUUGUACUAGAAUUUCACCAAAAAAAUUAACUCGUGGAAUGAUAAUAUGGGAAGAAUUCCAGCAACCCAAGCAACUCCGGCUAUCAAAGAUCUCAAGUCACCAUUUUCGUCCAAACUAAGAAGGAACAAAGUAGAAUUACAAAAUCCAAUGAGGAAUUUAUAUUAAAUUUGUAACAUUUUUUUUGUAAAUAAUUUUUUUAAUUAACAUGAAUUUUAAUAUGAAAUGAAUUUUAUUUCUUAAUAAAGCAGGGAAUUAUGUGAUAUAUGUGUUGAUUAGUAAGAUAAUAUUAUCGGAAUUUACUGAAUGAAGUAUCAAAAUUCAUACAUAAAAAUGUACCACAAUGCAGCACAAUACAUUAUGUCCAAGUUUAAAUUUGACCAGAAUUCAAAAAUAAAUUGUAAAAAUAAUUCAAAUUUCAAAUUUUUAGGCGGGAAAUUGAAAUAUUUCCAAUUUUCAAAAUUUUCAAAUUUUCAGUCAAAUUUAGGCGGUCAAAAUUAUUCGGUCAAAUUUAGCUAAAUUUGACUGAUUUUGCUAAAUUCGACGACGUUAUGUCUGACCGGCAUGAAUCGGUCAAAUUUAGCUAAAUUUAACUGCCAACAGUCAAAUUUAACUAAAUUUGACCGAUUUUUGGGAUCAAAUUUAUCUGUUUUUCUUGUAAUUUACCAUAACAAACAUACCAUGUUCAUUAAAAUUCCUUCUUGUCCACGGUACUCCAAAAAGUCACGGAGUGGUCAUGUAGCAAUUAACAUGUUAGCCGGCCCCUCGACAUUCAUCUACGCAAUAAUCCCAAACAACAACUUUGAUUGAUCCGCGACGAGCCACAUUGCACUAUCACUUAUACAUCUGUAACAAUUUUCAAACAAUACAAAAGUGUAAACUUUAAAAGAACAUUAAAAUAACCUUCUGGGGUGAAUGAAAACAGAUUUUGGGCAAGGAAAAAAAAGAUAAAUUUACGUAUAUAAGUUAAGGAUAAAUUUUUGGGCAAGAAAAACGUGUAGUGUACUUUUCAUCUUAUCUUUAGUAUGAAAUAUAAUAAUAAAUUUAAUUAAAAUAUAUUUUACAAAUACAUUUUUUAUGUAUUAUAUAAUGAAAUAUAUAUAAAUUUUUUCUAUUUAUAUUUAAUUGUGUACAAAUUAUAUAUAUAUAUAUAUAUAUAUAUGUAUGUAUGUAUGUAUUAUAGAAAUAUAUAUAGUUUUACAUGAAUAUAUUACUUUUAAAAAAAUAUAUUUAUAUCGUGUACUUUCGUGUAUGUAAAAUAAAGCCGGACAUGAAGUGUAUUUUCAUAUUUAUGUACUGAAUAUUGAAAAUCAAAUUUUAAAUUUUUUCGUUUCUUGUUCGUGUAUCAAAUUGCGAGGUCUGAUCUUUUCUCAGAUCAGGUAUAAAUCAAAUUAGCUACACCAUAUAUAUAGCCAUUUUUGUUUUUGCAUGUAUCAUGUUAUAUAUAUACAAAAUUUUGGUCGAGUAAAAUGUUACACAUUUUAUAUAUUGAAAUAUAAUAUAAAUAUUUAACAUCAAUUUUAAUAUUUUAAUUUCUAUUUAUCUAAAUAUUUUAAUGUUUAUAAUAAAUUAAAAUUUCAUAUUUUUAUUUAGAAAAUAUUUAACAUUUUAUUUUAAGUAUCAGAACUUAAAACUCUAAAAUUAAUUUAGCUUUGCUAUAAUUUUAUAAUUCAAUUCUAUAGCGAAGUAAAUACAAAUACAUAGUUACACUCAUGUAACUCCCCUAUAUACGACAAACAUUUUUCUCAUCAGAGUUUAAUCAAUAUUUUUUAUCAAAUAUAAAAAAACCCAUGAUUAGAAUUUUGAAGCAUCACUGAGCCUAAUUUAAAGUUUUCUAUAAUUGUUUUUUAAGGUUUUCCUUAAUUUACUUGGUUACAAGUUGCUUGGCACUAUGCAGAAUUGCAGAUGCACAGCUAAAAGAGAAACCGACUGGCAGACGAAGUAGCAAUGUUUUUAUAUUCUGUCUGUCCAGGUAAAAUAAUGAUCGAACAUAGACUAAAUUGCAAAUACAAAGCAAUUUUCAAAGCACAAAAGAGUUUGCACAUGUUUAUAUGCCUGGUCUGAGUACAAUGCAAAACAUAAAACCAGUCAAUAAUCUGGAGUCUUCACACCCCUUAAAAGUUUACAAUUCUUGCAUGUAUAAACUUAUUCAACCUCGUUUUCAAAAUGAUCAACUGCCGCAGCUCGCAUUUCACUUAAACCAAUGUAUGAUUGUCCAAGUUUGUCGCUCACUUCUUGUCUCAGUGCCUCCACAAAAUUUUCAUCCCUCAAUGCCUCUCGUGAAUCCAGGCCAGCUGUCAUAAUACAUUUCCGCACGACUAGAUGUCGAAGACAGGUAUACUUCCCAGAAACCUUGUAAAAACCUCUAUCAGAGUGCACUUCCAAGAAUUCUCUAACCCACCUCAAGCAGUCACUAAAUGAUUCAUUAACCUUCGCCAGAUAUCCGAUAUAACAAGCAAGGCUAACCAUUUUCGUGAUGCAGUAGAUGAGGGUGGAAUUUUCUCGAGUAUCACUCAUCAAGUACCGUAUACCAUAUCUUAAUAAUAUAUCCAUUUCAAUCAAGUCGUCAAGGUUGGCAUUAAUCAGGAACCGCUUCACAAGUUGGUGGUGAACCAAUCUUGUUGGCGAGUCACUGGUGUGUACUUGUAGAGGUGAAAAAUAGGACAUAAAAGAACUAACUUUACUGUUCUGAGCCGGAACAUUUGUGUCUCGAAUCAAACGUUUAAGCUUUAAACCAUCACAAGGAUCGUCACUGAAAGGAAAAACUUUCCUUUUCCCUUCGCUAAGUAACAAAUGGGUAGAGCUCAGCAAUAUCACCUGCGUAGCCCGAACAAAUGUUAUGCUCCUCAGUAGGCCAGUUGUUUUUUACUCCCUCCGUCUUUUUUUUAGUUGUCAAAUUUCUAUUUUAUUGAUCAAAUGGACUAAUUUUUUACCAAAGAUUGUAAGUCAUUCUUUCACUAUUUUAAAAAACUGAAAAUUAUAUCUUAAAGUUGAUUAAAAAAUUAUUUCCAGUCAGUGACAUAUUUUUCUUUUAUCGAUUGAUAAAAUAUUACUCCAUCCGUCCCACUUCUUUUGUCUAGUUUGACUUUUUGUGGUCAAAUUGACCCAACUUUGACCGUUAAUGAAUAAUUAUCCUUACAUAAUUUCUACUAAUUGAAAAUUACAUCUUAAAGUAGAAUAAAUGUAGAUUGUAAUUAUAUAUUUUUUAUAAUUUUUUCAAUUAUUUAAUAUAUGCAAAAUUUCAGUCAAAGUUGAGUCAAUCUGACCACAAACAGUCAAACAAGACUAAAGAAUUGGGACGGAGGGAGUAAUAAAUUUCAGUCAAAUUUUGGUCAAUUUGACCGGUACACAACCAAAUAUUAUGACGACUAAAAAGGGAUAGAGGGAGUCAUAUUUUUUGAAGAAAAACAUCAAAUAAAGCGCAUUUCGAAAGCAGAUUAUUAGGAAUGGCGAAUGAUUCACACCUACCGAACAAAAACUAAUAGGGGAUUUAGUAAUUACCUUCGCAAGCACAUGCUGAGCAGCUACAUUACCCGCUUCAGAACAUUUAACGAGUAGGCCUUUGACAUUUAGGAAAUUGUAAAAUUUCACAGAUUUCAUCUUCAUAUUAAAAUCGACAACCCUUAAAACGGAUCCAUCUUCGGCAUACAAAUGAAAAUCUCUGCAACUGCAACCAAAAGAUUGACAGAUACAUUUUAGAGACCCUGUGUACGUAAAAUAUGUACAAGAACUUUCUACUAAAAAACCAUAAACUACUCUACGCACAUGCCUAUAGAGUUAAACCUCUUUAAUGUAAUAACGUUGGGACCAACGAAAAAAAAUACUUUAUCGAGUUUAUUACUUUAUUGAGAGUAAAAAUACACAUUUACAUUAUGUUGGGACUAAAAAAAAUAUUACUUUAAUGAGGAUAUUACUUUAUCGAUUAUUACUUAAUCGAGAUUCAACUGUAUAUUUAUGUAUUAAUAAUGUAUACUAUAAAAAGUUAACAGGGAUGACCAUUUUCAAAAUUCCUACCAAAAAUACCACAGAGAUACCCACAUGAGAAAUGUACAUCUCAUCGGUUCUUUCAAUAAAACCAGUUUUUCUGUAAAGUUUUCACAAGAGCAUAGGGGUUCUUAUAUAUCCUAAGCGUUAAGGGACGUCAGUUCAAUUCUCUCCGAUAUAUCAAAAAUUAAAUAUAUAUUUCGUUGAUAUAGAGUUCAAACCUUGGCAAGUACAAUUAAAACGAUGGGGAGUUCAAAACUACAUGUGUUUAAAUUAACAAGUAAAACUUAUUAUACAUUAAAAAGUUCAACAAAUAGAUAAUUAUGUAAAAUAAUUAUUUAAGAAAAAAGUUAUAAAACAGCAAUAGUUUAAUGCAUCUAAUUAAACUUGUGACCUACAAUUUGACCUUUAUAAAUUUGUAACAAACUAUUAGGAUUCAUUCAUGAGAAGGUGUAUACUUAACAUUAAAUGACAGCUUGUGACACUGCAAAUAAUAAAAAAAUUUAACGUUCCUUACGACUUAAUAAUUUGGACUGUAAGGUCUUACACAGAGAUAAUUCUGGCGAAAUCCGCUGCUCCACCUGAAGACUGCACCAACAGAAAUAUGAUAUAAUACACAAGCGUACAGGGUAAGUCUGUGAAUGUCGCCAUUGCCUACAUAAUUCAAGUUGAGAAUACAAUUAAAUUUUUUACAAUACUUAUGAAAAUUGAAUUUCAAUCGGCCACUGAGUGAUAAAUAAGUAUAAACAUAUCGAAACAUAUCGGUGCCAUUCAUUGAAACUUUUCAGUUUUCACACCCUUUCGGUCUUGGGCCAGGGAAACACCAGAGAACUAGCCUACACUAAAUUGGUUUAUACAUUAUUAUAUUAAAUGAUGAAAUUUAAAAUUUUCAAUUUAUAUACUAUAUAUUUUGGGAGCAUUGUUUUGGCAAGACCACCUCUAAACUCAUUACACUUGUCUGUUGAUCAAAAUUAAAAGAAAAUUAUCAUCUUCUGCGUCAAUCUAUGGAUUAGACUUGUUCUACUUAUUCCAUGAAAAUUGUUUCUCUUCUUCACAAAGAUUAUAAUGGAUAAAAAAAAGCAUCAAUGCUAAUUAUUCUAAUCUUUUUUUAGAAAGAAACUAGCAUCUGUGAGUUACUGAGUUACUACGAUGCUUAUUAAAAAAACCAAAUGCCUUCUAGAUACUAUUUCGAGCAAAUUAAUGUCUUAACAUUAAAAAAAAUGCCUUGUAAUUUGAUAAAUAGUUCCCUCGCCACAAACUAAAAUUAUGAUAAGUAGCUAAAAAAAUCUUCACCAUUAUUAGUCCGCACCACAUAACAUUUAGAAUUAUAUAUUUCUUGAAUAUCAAAAUUUGACUAAACAAUAUAAAAUAAUAUAUAAUGCAUAACUCUUAUUGUCACGUACUUCUAAAAUCUCAAACAUUAGGUAUCCGAAGACAACUAUGACAAACACACGAUCUCAUAAUUGUGAUCCGGCCACAUAUUAAAUGAUAGUUUGGAUCACACAUGAUAUAGACUAUCAUUUUGAUGUGUCCCAAUAAUUGUGAUCUGGCCAUAUAUUAAAUGAUAGUUUGGAUCACACAUGAUAUAGACUAUCAUUUUGAUGUGUCCUUAUAAAUGCUCACACGAAACCAUACACAUAUACAUUAUAUAAUUGAUAAUUACGUCAAAAGUCCUAAGAUAAUUAUAAAAUUCGAAGUAAAGUUCACGUAAUUGUGUAUGUAACAAAUAAUGAUUCAAUGAUGGUCGGGAUUUCGCAGCAGAACUGAUCAGUAUCUAGUAAAGUUAUCAGGAUGCAGAGAUCAGUAUGGCAAGCUGGUUAGUAACUGAUGCGUAUUAGGUUUGUGAAAAAAAUAUAUUCCACAGGUAGAAGCCAGCACAUGGAUUGAUUUGUUUUACUGAUAUUAGUUAGGUUAUGUAUAAAAAUUGAUAGAAAUCAGCUAGAACAUAUCGUGUAAUUGAUAGGAUAGCUGUGUACAAUAUAAACAAAAUAUUUGGUUUGCGUAAUAGAAAGGUUUUUACUCGAACAUUGUGAUAACCUGUAUGCUCAUAAGAAAGAUUGUUUUUCUUGAGAGAGUUUUGUAAUAGUUUUAUUUGUAAUCAAUAGAAGUUGAUUUCAAAAGUUACAUACUUGUGUCCAUUAUUUUUCUUAAGUCAAAAAGUUAUACUCAAUUGUAUUCAACCCCAUUCUACAGUUCAUUCUUAUACGGGUAACAAGUGGUAUCAGAGCAGGCUGAUAAACUCUUAUCAAUAAAGAUCGAAAACAUGCCGACAAACAAAUAUGAAAGCAUAAAAAUACCCGUACUGAAGAAAUCUGAAUAUGUUACGUGGAAAGUCAAAAUCAUGAUGUAUCUGAAGGCAUCAGAUCUUGACUACCAUGAUAGAAUUUUUGAUGGUCUAUACGUUCCCAAGAAACUAGUUCCACAAGUUAAUGGUGUACCUGAACACUAUGUCGGGAAGACGAAAUCUGAGAUGACACACCCGAGGAGUAGACGGAACGUCUCAAGGAUGCCAAGGUCAGAACUAUUCUCCAUAAGAAUUUAGACUCCGUAAUGUCUAAUAGAGUUAUAGCACGCAAAACAGCCAAGGAGAUCUAGGACACAUUGAAAACUCAGUGUCAAGGAAUUGAGUCAAUCAAGAAAAAUAGGAGAGCGCUGCUGAUUCAAGAGUAGGAACAGUUUAAAGCCAAGUUUGAUGAAAGUCUCGCCGAUGUGUAUGAUAGGUUUUUAACUCUUCUUAACAACUUAUCUCUCGUUGGUAAGGUGUAUGAGCUAAAGGAUUCAAAUACCAAACUAAUGAGGUCUCUUUCGAAAGAUUGGGAUACUAAAACUUCAAUUAUCAUUCAUCAAUAUGAUCUGAAUAAUGUGUCACUUGAUGAAAUAUAUGAAAGGCUAAGUCAACAGCCGUGAAAGCUUAGAUCAGAUCAAGCAAACCAAGCGGAUUGAAGACAUCAAGCAAAAAACUCACAAGGGAAGCAUCAUAUAUCGAUGAAUCAUCAGAUAUUGAUGGAAAUACUGAUGAGGGCACUAAUACUUACAGCGAGGAUGCUUAGUUUAAUGACAUGUUUGCUAUGCUGGUUAAAGGAUUCAAAAGAAUGAAGUUCAGAUGAGUUCAAAGGCAAGGCAUGUUUCAGAAAAGGUCCCCAGAUGAAAGAAGAGAUAGGUUCAAGAAGAAACACAUUGCUGAUGAAAAGAAAGGCAAGGCAGAUCUUUCUAAAAUCAAAUGUUACAAGUGUCAGAAAAUGAGACAUUAUGCUACUGAUUUCUCUCAAUCAUUUGACCAUCAUGACACAACUGAAAAAUCAUCAAGAAACAAGAACACAGGGGGAGCUCAUGAACAACAAAAUAAUCAAGAAGAUACCACAAAUAUAGGGGGAACAUCUAGUUAAUGAAGUGAUCUUCCUCAUGUCAGGAAAUGGACAAAAGAUCACACUCCUGAUCUUCUAAUCGGCAAUCCUGAAUCAGGUGUGCAAACAAGAUGUGCUACACAAAAUGAAUGUCACGUUCACAAUUUUCUCUCCAAAGAAAAGCCGAUGAAGGUUAAAGAUGCACUUAAGGAUCCUAACUGGGUAACACCUAUGUAAAGAGGAGCUAAAUGACUUUAAAAGAAAUGAAGUUUGGAAGCUGGUGCCUAGACCAAAAGACAGAUCAAUCGUAGGUACCAAAAGGGUUUUCAGGAACAAAACAGAUUCUGAUGGUACAAUCAUUAUAAACAAGGCCAGACUUGUGGAAAAAGGCUAUUCACAACAAGAAGGGAUCAAUUAUGAUGAGACAAUUACACCCGUAGCAAGACUGAAAGCAAUCAGGAUGUUCUUAGCUUAUGCUGCACAUAAGAAAUUUAAAGUGUUUCAUAUGGAUGUCAAGAGUGCUUUCUUAAAUGGAGAAUCGGAAGAGGAAGUGUAUGUUGAACAGCCACUUGGGUUUGUCGAUCCUAGAUAUCUAGAUCUUGUUUAUAGGUUGGAUGAAGCUCUAUAUGGAUUAAAGCAAGCACCAAGAGCAUGGUAUGAAACUAUUGCUCAAUUUCUCAUUGACAGUGGAUUCAAAAGAGGUACGAUUGAUAAAAACUCUCUUCUAUUUGAAUCAUGGUAAAGAUUUGCCUCUUUCAAAUACACGCAUUCUCUCAAUGGCUACAACACUUAACUCUCCUUUUACCAACGUCAAAUACCAUACCUUCGUGGAAAAACUUUUGCUCCGAACAACUUUUGUGCCCCCUUGGACAACUGUAUCCUACCCAAAGGCUUUCACUUCGUCCAAGACUUCCUUUCCAGCAGUCCAAUUGGUUACGCUCUAACUGAACCCAAAAGGGUCACUUUUUGCUCAGUCAUGCAGGUUUGGGACACAUCAUUCUUUCACACUGAUGAAAACAACAAUCUGUUCUUCUCUUUUGCAUUCAACAACAUCAAAUAUGUUGUCACUGCUGAAAUCAUGGAGAAAGCUCUUCAUCUUCCCAAACAUGGUAAAAUUACUCCAACUAAACUAACCAAUUAUGAAAUCUUAGAUUUCUUAAAAACUCUAGGUUAUGCUAGUGAUGAUACCAAGAUUAGAUCAUUUCAAAGAUCGCUUGUAAAGAAGGAGUGGAAUUUCUUCUUUGACUGCAUCAGUCGUUGCUUCCUAAACAAAGUUUCCAACUUUGAUGCUUUAUCAUAAGGAUCUCUACAAAUUGGGUACUCUCUUAUCCAUAACACUCUUUUUGAUUAUGGUACCUUUUUGCUUGAGCUCCUAGCAGUUAGAAAGGAGGACAAAACAUGUUUUAUUUGUUACGCACGCUUUUAUUUUUCAACUGAUCUUAAAUCAUUUUUGUCCAAAUUUUCUCUUUGACAAUGAUGAAUUACUGCCAAUCUAUAAAAUUGAUGAUACGGGCACUAAUGCCCUAAUUAAUAGCGACAGAAAAACUAGUUUCAGAAGCCAGUGUGUCAUUCCCGACAUGGUUAGGCAUCUUUUAUAGACAAGUUUGCCUAAUCAAUAUGGUUUAUCUACCUCCGGUGCUUUUCUGUAAAUUCUUGGUACCAAGACAAUGGACUCAACAUCUCCAGUGUCUAACCGAAGCAUCCCACCUAAACAAUCCUCUAAUAUCUCUCAAAAGUCAUCAGUUGUAAACACUUGAUAUAUUCAAUCUAUAAGAAAAAUCAGUUUAAUAGCAUACAAAAUUACAUACACGAGAAUUAAUGAUAGGGAUCGAUAAUAGCAAAUCAACUUAAGUCUUCAAUUCGAUGUCCUAAUUACUAAAUUUAAAAAUUGAAACGGCUUCAAGCAUAUAUUAACACUACGCAGAAUAUAGAGAUAAACAAAUUAUAUGUGUAGUGAAAGAUCUUUGUAGAAUUUGAGAGAAUCGGAGAUAUUCUUACCUUGUUUUUCGCUCUGUUACCUUCUUUAUCGCUUUCUGGAGCAAAUGAUAUGUAUAGAUAUACGUCUAUUUGUGCACGAAGAGAAAUUAAGGGGCAACUAGUGGAAAACGAUGACCUAAAUAUUUAUUAUUUUUGACAUUGGAAAUGAGAUGGGCUUUGGAUACGUAUUUGGGUUCUAACAUAUGGGCUAUCAAUUAAAUGUCUUGAAUUUGGGCCACUUAUAAAUCCAAAUUAUAUAAACUUCCCAAACAUAUAAUUUGACCAAAUAUAACGUUACACAAUAGCAAGAAAAAUAAUAAUUAAGUGAUUAUAAAAUUACAUAAUAAGAACAAUGAUUAUUAUAUUGGCAAGUUAAACCGCAGCCCAAUCUCUACCCUCAGCUAUCCAUAAAUUGAGCACAUAUUCAUCAGGUCUAAUGUGUGUCUGACUCAAUGACUUGACUGCAUAUGUGUUCGAAUCGCCAUGUGGCCUCUAGUUGGCACUACUUCGACACACGAUAGACUUGUCCCAUCUAAAUAGGAUCAAUAUAAUCAGUUUGUAACUUAAUUAUACAACAUUUUCAUAUAUCUCAAAUCUCGAUUCUCGUGUCUUUUCUCUCAUUACUUUUUAUUAGCCUUGAACCCGUGCUUAAUAUAAUUCAAAAUUUCUUAUUUAUAGUUUAAUUUUUUACUUCGUCAUUGUAUUCUUUUUUAUAUGAGAAAUUCUAUGAUCAUGUAUGAAGUUUGAUAAAAACUUAUUGAAUGAUUUAUUAGGUUUUAUCCUAGAGAUUUAUUUGUUACCUUUUUGUAUAUAUUGUAAACCAGAAGUAAAAAUAAUAUAUAUAUUUACCAUCUAUUUAUAAUAUCUUUUUUUAAACUAAUUAAAAAUUAUAUUUUUCAUAUAUUUUAUUUCUUCGUUUAUAUGAAAAAAAAUUAUUCAUUUUGUAUUAGUUACAUGAUGAAUUCGUGAUUUCUUCAACUAGAACACAUUAUAGUUAAAAUCAUAUAUUUUAUUCUAUUUAAUUUUAAAAAUAAUGCAGAGAAAAAAGAUAAUUCAUUAAUUACCAAUAAUAUGUAACCAAAUGACGAUGACUACAAAUCAUCUCUUUGUUUAUAUUUUAGUAUAGCUAUAAAUAUAUACUAGCUUAGUGCAAGGCACGGGAUAUUUUUAAUUUUUUAUAAACCUUUUAAUAUAUUUUAAAUUAUUUGAAAAAAUUAAUUUACAAAUAAUAAAUUAAAAUUUUCAAUUAAAUAAAGUUUGAAAUUUUGAUUUGUUUGUAAGUCAGAACUGUUGUAAAAAUAUAUAAUUUCUGUAUGAUGUUGGUAUAAUUUAAAAUUUUAUCUGAAAUUUUAAUUCAAUCUAAUCCAAAAUACUAGUUUUCCAUGAUUUAACAGUUAUGAGUAACUUAAUCUAACAUAUUUGUCUUUAAUAAUAAAAAUAUUUAAUAGCAUGAUGUUAUGCAUAUUUGUAUAUAAUUUUUCGUCUUUCUUUUUUAAUAUAUAUACUUGAAUAUAAAUAUUCAUUUUAAAAUUUUUUAAUGUUAAAAUAUUAAUCUUUAUAUAAAAUAUGUUCUUUAAUAAUUUGAAUAACAUGCAAGUAGAAGUCAUAAUCUGUCUUGGAUUAGAAAAAGGUGUUAAAAAUAUGGUUUCUAUUUUUCACACUUGUUUCUGUCAAAAACAUAAUGUCAAAAAAAUAAAAAAGACUUGUCACACAUGUUGGAUCAUCUGAUAGUGGCGAUGCAGUAUGAUAUACACCAUCACAACUGGUGUGGAACGAAAAACGAGGGUGUGAGCGAUUCGUGCUUUGGACUGAUCUCGGUGCGAGAUGCCUACGUAUCUUCUGCUUGGAGAAAAAUCAAGUCCAAAAUGUAGUUUCAGUUUGGAGAGGUAGAGCCCUUUAUAUAGACACUUCCGAGUUAGAAGUCGGAUGACAGUGCGAUUCCACGUAUCAGACUUCUUAUCGAAGUAUGCUUUGGAGCAAGAGAUAACAUAUGACUCUUAUCUUUGCGUUGUCAAUGUUUAGCCGAACUCUUGAAUAUUUAGCUGCUAGAAUCAGAAGUAUUGUAGAACUCGUAUUCGUAAUUGGGCCCUUAGUUGGGCCUCCGACCUAAUUUGCGAUCCACAUGUGAGGUUCGGGCUUUUAUUGGGCCAAGGCCAGAUCUUUACGAAUCUAGUUGGUAUUUGGGCGUUUAUUGAUCGGGCCAUCUUGUCAUAAAAUAAGUAUCCAAUUAUUUUAAUACUCACCAUUUUCCCCCCAACUUUCGAUAAGUUUCGUAAGAACUUGUCAAAAGUUACGGAAGUUCUCAUAUGGUUUCCAAAACCUUAUCGAACCCUUUUUGCGACUAAUCGAAUCUUUUACGCCGUAUAACUUGUCCUCUCAAAUUUAUUGUCAAUACUUGUGCAUUCAGGCAUUUUUUUCGUAAAUUUCCGGGGCAUAAUCUUACUUUUUAUUGGAAUUUUUAUGAUUAAUUCCAAUUCAUGGAAUUUUCCAGGCCUUUUAAUAAUUUUCGAAGCAUUUUUAAAAAGUGAUUCUCAAUUUUUAGAGCAAUCCCGAUUUUUUCAAGGUUUUUCUUUACAUUUUCCAAAUUUUUGGGAUUUAUUUCAGCCUUUUUGAGUAAAUAAUUGAUAAUUUACAAAAAUUAAGGCUCCCUGAGAAGAUGCUUCCUUGGCGGGGGUACCCGCGCCUAGGAAGCGUCUAAGAAUACCACGCCUAGGAGACAUGCUUCCUAGGCGUGGGUGACCACAUGCAUGAAUAAGAUGCUUCCUUGGCGUGGGUUGCCCCGCCAAGGACGCUGUUUUCAUGGCACACCUAGGAGGAUUGCCUUCUAGGCGUUGUUGGUCAAUAAGCUUUCAGAAGCUAGUGCUUCCUUGGCGUGGGUACACCCGCCAAGGAGACACUCUUGGUGCCACGCCCAGGAAGAAUUCUUCCUUGGCGUGGUAUGUUUAAAACCUUAACAAGGCUGAUGCCUACUUGGCGUCGAUAGACCCGCCAAGGAGACAAUCUUCGUGCCACGCCCAGGAAUAAUGCUUCCUUGGCGUGGUAUAGUAUCAUCCCUUGACAAAGCUAAUGCUUUCUUGGCGUGCGUAUACCCGCCAAGGAGACAUGAUUUGAACACCGCUUAGAAUUGAUGCCUCUUAGGCGUGAAGUGCAUAUAGGCCUUAACAAGGCUAAUGCUUUCUUGGCGUGCUUAUGCCCGCCAAGGAGGCCAUGUUGAAAGCACGCCUAAGGUACAAGCUUUCUAGGCGUGGGUAUUUUACAAGCCUUCACAAAGAGUUUGCUUUCUUGGCGUUGGUAACCCCGCAUAGGGUGUUAUGUUUCACUUACACUAAUAAGGCUUCCAGGAUUAACUGUGUUGGAACCUGUGGGCCUAGGUCUACGUGUGUCAGGCCUAUAAUCGUUGAUUUUUCCUUUUAUUUUGAUAGAAUUCUUCAGAAUUCUCCUGAUUCUUCUAGAAUAGCUAGGUUUCUUUUAAAGUUUUUCAAUUGGAUGGGCUUCCCGCCUGGUAAAGGCCUGGCUACCGGCCCAAAGCCCAUUUUACCGCUUGCAAGCGGUAACCCUAGGGUUUACCGGCUAUUGAACCGGUUAGUACUUUCGAUAUAAUGAGUGACUUGGGAGUUCAUUUCCCUCAUUCAAUAAACUUUCCAAAUCUCAGUGCCCAAAAAUUCUCCCAAACUCUCUCAAUUUUCUCUAGUUUCGCGGCGAGUUUUUAGGCGAAGUUUCCGGCGGUCUUCAAGAAAUUCCCAAUUUCCGGCCGACAUUCAAGCGUUUUUCCAGUUCUCGAUCAAUCUUCAUCUCUUUCAUCGGUUUUUCUGGGUUUCAAUCCUUCAAACGAAGCAUAUCAAUGACAGAUUCCAGAUCUUCUUAGCAAUCUCAGCUCUCUCAGCCCAUGGCUCCUCGUCCUCGCGCGAACCGAGGUAACAACAAAUCCCUUGUCAUGCUAGCGUCUUUUCCCUUGGAGAAUUACUUACUGAGUUCGGGGAAGCCUUUCCUAAUUUAUUACAUUUAGAAGCUUAUAAUUAUCCAUCCAAAUAUUCUCAAAAAGAUGUAGACGCCAUAGCUCUCGCUUCCGGGAUUAAUGGGCCGUACAGGGCUGUUGCUCCGGGCCCAAAUGAUAGGGCUUGUUACCCACAGCCCGGAGCAAUUAGAAUUUAUAAAGAACUUUUUAUUCAGGAUUUUAGGCUUCCUCCACCCAUGUUUGUUUGUAGACUUUUAGUCGAAGCCAGCAUUUGUCUAACCCAACUCCAGUCCAAUGGCUGGAGGUUUAUUUAUUGCUAUAUGGUCCAGUGUAAAAUGCAUAAUUCAGAGCCUAACGUAGCUGUUUUUCUGUAUUUAUUAAAGUUUGUAAACGCUCCCCACGAUGGAGAAGGAAUUGGCUGAAGAGAAGGAGAAAGUCCGGUCUCUGGAAGCCGAGUUGGUUCGAGUCCGCACGGAGGCGAUCGCGGACUUUAAAAAGUCCCAGGAAUACGAAGAACUCCUAGUGGUGGAAUAUGACGUCUCCUUCUCGGAUACUUUUAAAUCCUGCUGGGAGGCCAUCAUCGAGGAGCUAGGCUCUAAGAUUGACGAAGUUACUUUGGAGAAGUUCCUGGUCCCUCUAGUCCCAAGGAAGACACCGGCUUCGCCUGUUGACCUCGAGGAGACAGGGUUUGGGGAUUCUCACCCCUGGGAUCCCCAGGAGGAGGGUAUCAAGGAAGGGGUUCGUUCUCCUGUGGCCGAGGAUGCGGCAAAAAAGGACGCGGAGGAGGAAGACGAGGAGAUCCCUGAGAAGGCGACAGAGGACAAGGAAGGGGACGACGUCUUCGACGAUGGUUUGCCUUAGAUUAAGAAUCUUUCAGCCCUGCGUGGCUUAAGUUUGUAAUAUAUUUAUUCAGACUUUUGUUUUAACCCUUCGGGGUUUAACUUAUGUACUUAAGAUAUUCCAGCCUUCGUAGCUUAAGCAUUUAUCUUUUUAACUUAACUAUUUAAGUUAAUUUUUAUGUGUCAUGCCUUUCGAGCUUUUCCCUUCUUUAACAUUUUUAGCUUCAAGCUUUAUGCUUGUUUGUCCGUGACUUAGGAUUCCUUAAAUUUUCUUCGAAGAGAAACAUAAGUAACAAGUAAAACUCGAGAAAAUCAAGUUAGAGAAUCCUCGGGACUUUUAUUAAUAUCAUGGUAAAAGAGAUAAACUAUAUUUGAAAUCAACUAAGCGGCAGUGGUCGGUAUGACCUUCAUUCGGUGAUAACUACUAGCUUCUACUAAUUUCUACUAACUUGUAGUAAAUAAUUAAACAUAAUAUAUCUUUAAGUUGGACGUCGCAUGCCAACUUCUAGGGACUUCUAUUCCUUCCAGGGUCUGAAGCUUGUAUGAGCCCCGACCCGUUACACUCUUGACUUCAUAGGGUCCCUCCCAAUUUGGAGCCAUCUUGCCUUUGGGACCUACUCCUGAAGCCUCAAUUUUUCUAAGUACUAAGUCUCCUUCUCGAAAAAAUUGUUCUUUAACCCGAAGAUUGUAAUAGUAGGAAGCUCUCUCCUGAGUUUCCACAAUCUUAGCAUGCGCUUCGUCACGAAUCUCAUCAAUCAUAUCAAGCGCAAGUCUCAUACCUUGUUCAUUGUCCUCUGGCUCAUAUUGUUGGACCCUGGAGGAAGUAUAUGUGAUUUCAAGUGGCACCACUGCCUCGGCUCCAUAAGCUAACUGGAAGGGGGUUGCUCCAGUCGAGACCUUACAAGUUGUUCGAUAUGCCCAAAGUAUAGGGAGUAACUCGUCGGCCCAUGAUCCCUGAGCUUUCUCAACUCUUUUCUUUAGUCCAUCGAGGAUUAUUAUAUUGGCCACCUCAGCUUGUCCAUUAGCUUGGGGAUGGGCAACUGAUGUAAAGCGUAGUUUGAUUGAUUAAUCUUCACAAUAACUCUUAAAUUCAGCAUUGUUGAACUGAGUCCCAUUAUCUGUUACCAUGACUCGUGGUAUCCCAUACCUGCAGAUAAUGUUCUCUCACACAAACUGAGCAACUUGCUUGGUGGUUAUCUUGGCCAGUGGCUUGGCCUCAAUCCACUUAGUAAAGUAGUUAAUUGCUACUAACAGGAACUUCCUUUGUGCACUAGCGAGUGGGAAUGGUCCAAGGAUGUCCAUCCCCCACAUUGCAAAAGGGAUCAGAGUGUUAAUGGGCGUCAACAUCUUAGGUGGUUGUCGUACAAUUGGUGCAAACCUUUGGUAGCGAUCACACUUUUUCACAUAGUCUUGAGCAUGUUUCAGCAUAUCCGGCCAACAAAACCUAAGGCGAGUCAUCUUAUGAGCCAAUGCCCUUCCUCUGAGGUGUUGACCACACACACCUUCAUGAACUUAUCUAAGGGCUUCUCGAGCCUCAUCCGGCCUCAAACAUCUCAAGUAAGGGAUCACAAAUGACUUUUUGUAUAAGAUUUCCUCAAUGAGUACAUGCUUAAGGGCCCUAACCUGUAACUUUCAUGCUUCAUCGGCAUUUGGCGGUAGAUGACCGUUUUCCAGAUACAUCUUAAUCUCAUCCAUCCAUCUGGCCCCUAUGUCGAUUGGAGCAACUAACUUUGCUUCGAUGCUUGGGGUUCUCGGAACCUGAUAAUAAACACUUCCUGAGCAUACCUCAUCAUCAGAGGAUGCAAAUUGUGAUAAGGCAUCAGCCUUAGUGUUUUCUUCCCUUGGCACAUACUCUACCAGACAUUCUUCGAACAGUGCCAUUUGAGCCUUCACAAUCCUCAGAUAUUUCAACAUGGUUUCUUCACGAGCUUCAAACUCACCAUUUAUUUGGAAGACUACGAGUUUUGAGUCACCAUAGACCUUCAAGUUCUUUACCCUUAAGGUUCCAGCUAAACCAAGUCUAGCUAUAAAUGCUUCGUACUCAGCUUCGUUGUUAGUGGUCGGGAAGUCCAGGGUAAUAGCAUAUUCCAUAAUAAAGCCAUUAGGGCUUUGGAGCACAAGUCAUACACCACUACCUUUUGUUUUUGAAGCCCCGUCAAAUAAUAGUAGCCAGUAUUUUUAGGUUUCCCUUCCUUAGUAGGUUCUUCUACCUUGUCCUCCUGCCCCCCGACUUCCUAGUUGCUAAUGGUACAUUCAACAAGGAAGUUAGCCAGAGCUUGAGCCUUAAUCGCCGUUCAUGGCUUGUAUCGAAUAUCAAACUCCCCAAGCUCAAUUGCCCACUUGAUUAACCUUCCACUGGCCUUUGGGCUAUGUAUGACAUUAAGAAGUGGUUGGUCUGUCAAGACUUCUAUCUUAUGAAACUGAAAGUAAGGUCUUAACUUUCUCGAGGCUGUAAUCAUAGCCAAAACAAACUUCUCGAUCACCAAGUAAUUGAGCUCCGCUCCGUGUAGAACCUUACUCACAUAAUACACUGGUUUCUGAAUUUUAACUCCACUCGAACCAACACAGCACUCAGUGCUUGUUCGGAAACGGCCAAGUACACAUACAAGACUUCACCAUCUACAGGUUUCGAUAGAAGAGGUGUCUCUGCCAUAUAUUUCUUCAACUCAUCGAAGCCACCUGGCUCUCAUUCGUCCAUUCGAAAUUCUUAACCUUCUUUAAUGAUUGGAAGAAACGUAAGCACUUAUCUCCUAACUUAGAUACAAAACUUCCCAAGGCUGCAAUCCUUCUUGUCAAUUUCUGAACCUCCCUUACGUUCUUGGGUGGUUCCAUAUAUAGGAUAGCUUUUAUCUUAUCGAGGUUGGCCUCAAUACCACUUUUGGAGACCAUCAGACCCAGGAACUUCCCGGAGCCAACUCCAAAGGCACUUGGUUGGGUUUAACAUCAUCUUAUGUGUCCUCAGGACUUCAAAAGCCUAUUUCAAAUGUUCAAGGUGAUCUGCUCUAUUCAAGCUUUUCACCAACAUAUCAUCUACAUACACUUCCAUAGUCUUACCUAUUAGAUGCUUGACAUCUUAUUUGCUAGACGCUGGUACGUGGCUCCUGCAUUCUUAAGUCCAAAUGCCAUAACCAAAUAACAAAAUACACCAAAGUUAGUAAUGAAUGAUACCUUGGGUACGUCGUACUUGUCCAUCCGGAUCUAAUAAUAUCCACUGAAGCCAUCCAUAAAGCUUAGCAUCUCAUGACAAGCAGUGGCAUCUAUUAGCAUAUCUAUCCUUGGAAGAGGGAAACAAUCCUUCGGGCAAGCGUCGUUGAGGUCAGUGAAGUCCACACACAUCCUCCACUUCCCAUUGGCUUUCUUGACCAUGACAGGGUUGGCUAACCAUUCUGGGAAUUGAAUUUCUUCGAUAAAACCCGCUUCCAAAACCUUAUAGACCUCCUGUUUUAUGGCUUCCUGCCUUUCAAGGGCGAAGUUCCUUUUCUUUUGCGUAAUGGGUUUCCUCUCGGGGUUUACAUUCAACUUAUGGGUCAUAAAUAAGGGAUCGAUACCUGGCAUACCAGCCGCUGUCCAAGCGAAAAUGUCUCGAUUGUUCCUUAAGAAUUUCACAAGCUCAUGUUUCAAGUCUUCUUGGAGUAAUGCUCCAACAUAAGUGACCUUCUCAGGCUCCUCAAUAUAUAAAGGGACGGGGAUUAAAUCCUCGGCAGGCUUGCCUCUUCUUUCCUCUUCUUCUCGGACAUCGAGGUCCUCUAUGGGUAACACUUGCCCCCCAGCUCCUCCGAAUUUCAAUGCUCCCACAUAACAACUUCGGGCCAUUUUCCGAUCCCCCAUUUCUUCUCCCACUCCAUUCCUAGUCGGGAACUUGAUCUUCAAGUGGUAAGUGGAUGGGAUUGCCUUAAAAGCGUGUAUCCAAAUCCUCCCAAGGAUGGCAUUAUAGGUUGAUGAGGCUUUAACAACCAAAAAGUUCAACAUGCAAGUGGCCUGACUAGUCUCGGUGCCCAUUGUUACUAGUAGUUGGAUCAUACCUUCGAUCUUUGUCUCCGCGUUGUUGAAACCAUAUAUAGGCAUAUCUGAGGGUGUUAGUUGGGAAUCAGCAUACCCCAUCUUUUCGUAUGCAUCAUAGAACAAUAUAUCCACCGAGGCUCCGCUAUCACCGAGUACCCUUUUCACGGACGAGUUAACAAUCACCGGGGUAGUUACUAAAUGAUCAUCGUGAGGAAACUUCACCUUUUCAAGAUCUACAUUGUCGAAUGCUAGAUCGUAAUCAAUUUUUGCCCUCUUUGGGGGUUAUCCAACUAUGCUCAUCACAUUAAUUACAGGCCUUCGAGGUUGUGUUCUCCUGUCAUCAUUGUCUCUUCCACGAUUGUCAUUGUCCCGAUGAUUCUUAUCUCCAUCCCUGGCAAACUUGGACAACUUGCCUUUUCGGAUCAAGAACUCAAUUUCAUCCUUCAACUGCCGGCAAUCAUCGGUCUUAUGUCAUGUGUCUUUAUGGAAUCGACAAUGCAAAUCUUUGUUUCGUUUCUUCGGGUCGGUUCUUAUAGGCUUCGGCCAUCUAACACUUUCAUCCUUCUCGAUCUCCAUUAGAAUUUGAAUCCUCAGAGCAUUAAGCCUAGCAUACACAGCGAACCUCGGUCCUAGUUUUUUCUUAGCAGGUGACUUUUCACCAUCUUUUUUCUUUGAAUACUUAUUUUCAGCGUUAUACUCCGUGUCACUUCCACGUUUCUUGGAAUUGAUGUUCGGCCCCUGAUUGUUCUGGGAUUUUCUCAAGCUUUCCUCCGCCUUAAUAUGCUUCUUGGCUCUCUCUUGUAAAUCAUUCAUAUUAUCAGGGGCCCUCUUGGCUAAAGGCCGACGGAAGUUCUCAUCUGUAGUACCUUGUUGGAGCGCAAUCAUAGUAACCUUCUGAUCUAGAUCCAGGACCUUGAAGGCCUCUUUGGUGAAACAAUUCAUGCACUCUCGAAGAGAUUCAUUUUUACCCUGGUGUGAAUUCAUCAGCGAAGCAGAGCUUUUGGCAUGGGUUUUGCUUCCAACAAAUUGUCCAAUGAAGGCCCUGCUCGAAUCAGCAAAGCAAGAAAUAGAGUUUGGGGGUAAGCGACUAUACCAGUGUUGCGCCAUCCCGCUCAAGGUCUGAGGAAAAGCUCGAUAUUUGAUCGCCUCCGUGACUGGAUGGAGCAACAGAGCGUUCAUAAACGUUCGGACGUGAUUAGCGGGGUCACCCGUGCCAUCAUAGGCCUUAAUGGUUGGGAGCUUGAAUUUUCUGGAGAUCCUUGCACCCAAGAUUUCUUCUGUAAACGGUGGGACGAGGUUGUCGGGAUCGCCUCCCGGCAAUAAGUGAAUUUGAUUCAUACUUGUUCGACGAGGAUUCUCAUCCUUUGGCUCAGGAGGUGGCUGCCUAGCCAUAUCUCUCUUCAUCUGUGCAAUUUCUUCCUCGAAGGCUCGGAUUUGCUCCUCAUAAAUUUGGUUUACAGGUCCCCGGGACUCAUUAUUGUCUUGUCUGGAGCGGCGUCAGUGGCCUCGGGUAUGGUCGGUAUCUCUUCUCCUUCGAGUAGGGGUAUCAUGUUCAUGCUCCGAGUCAGAGGAGUCGUAAUCAGUCACUGUACGUCAUUAUUACCCGUGCCUCCACGAGUAGUGGUCGUGACAGUUGAGUAAUGGGUGCCGGUGUCGGUAACAGUUGCAAUCACCCGAGUAAUUGGGGGCAUCGUGCCAAAAAUUAGGGGAGUGGUCAUUUGAGCAACAGUAGUACCGAGUGGGAUGGUGGCGGUGAUGGGGACCGUCCCGGUUGGGACUCCGGUGGUCGUUUGGUUGUUUGUAACAUGUACUUCGGAGCGUAGUCUGGAUGAGUUCGUCAUGGUUGUCGUCUUCUUCCCACAGACGGUGCCAAAUGUUGUGGAACGAAAAACGAGGGUGUGAGCGAUUCGUGCUUUAGAUUGAUUUCAAUGCGAGAUGCCUACGUAUCUUCUGCUUGGAGAAGAAUCAAGUCCAAAACGUAGUUCUAGUUUGGAGGGGUAGAGCCCUUUAUAUAGACAUUUCGGAGUUAGAAGUCGGAUGGAAGUGCGAUUCCACGUAUCAGACUUCUUAUCGAAGUACGCUUUGGAGCAAGAGAUAAGAUAUGAGUCUUAUGUUUGCAUUGUCAAUGUUUAGCCGAACUCUUGAAUAUUUAUCUGCUAGAAUCAGAAGUAUUGUAGAACUCGUAUUCGUAACUGGGCUCUUACUCGGGCCUCUGACCUAAUUUGCGAUCCAUAUGUGAGGUUCGGGCUUUUAUUGGGCCAAGGCCAGAUCUUUACAGAUCUAGUUGAUAUUUGGCCUUUAUUGAUCGGGCCAUCUCGUCAUAAAAUAAGUAUCCAAUUAUUUUAAUCAUCACCAACAACCUUUAUCGGCUUCAAAUAAACUAUUAUAAUCAAGCCAUUCCUUUUAUCAUAUGUAUCAUGCCGAAGUAUUAAAUUCUUUCUAAAACAAUUUAAUAUAUUUUGAGUAGAAUAUGUGACGCUAACUUCUCUUAGAUUAUAUUUAUAAAUGUGUUUUAUAUUAGAAUUAUUAUAAUGUGAUUUAAAUAUCUUUCUAAAAAUUUAUAUGGUUCUAGAUUAAAAUUGAUAAACAUAAUUUGUGUUGAAUUAAGAAAAGGAAUCAUACACAUGCAAUAAGAAGGUAGAAUUUUUUUUUGGAUUAAGAAAAAGUUUUUGUAUUCGUUCCUCACAUAAAUCCGAGUUAUUAAUUUUAAAAUAUAUUAGAUAACAAUAAUUUUGCGACGGUGCGAUUUAUAUGAUUUUACAAAUAAAACUCGUAGCAAAUAUUAAUUUUGGAUUAAAAAAAAUCAUAAACACGUCAAAAACAGAAUUUGUUUUGGUUUCAGAAAAGGAAUUAUAAACAUGCAAGUAGAUAUCAGUUGCCUUGUAUAACUGAAAUUAAUUUUAAUUGUUCUAAUCUAACGGUGCUUAUUUGUUCAAUAUACGAUCCACCGGUUGAUAAGCUUUUGGAUCAUACAACCAUGAGACCAAAUUAUAUCCCUUACGCUUAUUAUAUAUAAGUAUAUAAUGUGGAGUACUUAUUCGUGUACAAACUAGUUUACGGUACAAACUACAAACCAUGACCCAACCCAGAAAAAUUAUUGAUUGGACUAGAUCUGUACAGGCCCAGUAUACAAAGUCGUUAGUUUAAAAAAUAAAAGCAAUUAAAACUUGUACAUUCAUGUACAUACAAAAGAGUUACACAAUGCACUUUCUGAUCAGACUAUUCAUCUCUCACGAACACAAGGUACAUAUAAUCACUAACUCUAUUAAUUUGCUUCUGUUCUCUGAUUUCUUGCCAUUUCUGCAAUUAUUACAAGUUAAACUCCUCCCUUUUAUACAAAUUGUGCAAAACAAAUCAGGAAAUUCGCAACGGAGAUCAGCAUCCUACUCAACCGAAAGGAGAUUACUUCAAAAUUCUUCAAAAAGGUACCGUACUACCUUCUGAUUCUCAUUUGUUAGUUAUAAUAUUGUCAUCUUCUGAAUGCAUGUUAGUUCGAGUCUAUUUUUCUAGGGUUUCAAUGAUAAAUCUUAUUAAAAACUAACAAAUUAUGUUUACAUCUUCUCAUAAUAGCAACUAGUUAUGUAUAUAACACUGUGAAAACAAAAUAUUAUGGCUAGGACUAGAUGAGGUAUGUUAGUUAGGGUUAUAUAAUUUUUCAUUUUUAUUUUGAUAAAUUUGUGCUAUUAAAAUGUUUUUCUCCUAAUUUGCAUGUCAAUUUACAAAUUUAUAUGAUAAAUUUUAUGAUUAUAAGCCUAUAUUUAGUGAUUAGUGCUUCUAACGUCGCUUUGUGGUGCUUAGUGAUUAGUGUUAGUAAUCUGAAGGCACUCUGUGUUGAUUUAGUUGUAAUUAGUGAUUAGUACAUCUGAUUUGUAGUGAUUAUUGCCUCUAAAAUAUAGUGAUUUAGUAGUAAUUAGUGUUUAGUAUUAAUGAUAUCAUGUCACUUUGUGGUGAUCUAGUAUUAAUUAGUCAUUAGUGCUUGUAAUUUAUAGUUAUUACUGAUGUAUAAUGAUUUGUAGUGUUUAUGAUUCAUACGGAUUUGUAGUAAUUAUUCAUUUGUCUACAUUUUUGGUGAUUUUUAGGAAUUAGGUUAGUUAUUUUGAUUGACUUUGAUGGCAUAUAGUUUCAUCUUUAGCUUGCUCUGUGUUUAAUUUGGAUGAGAUUGUGAUUUGCAGUAAUUAGUGAUUAGCAUAAACAUAUCAAUAUAAGAAAUAUUACGCCAUAACAGUGAGUAAAUCAAACGCUGCAUUCUUGUCUCUUAAACAAAAUACAUUAACUAGCAUAAGAUUUGACCAAAGUGUUGCAAGAAUGAUAUAUUACAGUCACUCCAAAAUCUAUUUUGUAUUUUACUUAUACUAGAGCCAAUGGACAAUCCACGAGACUACUGACAUCAAUUUUGACAUGUGUCAAUUGUGUCGUGUACUAAAUUAUCAUGUUUGAUUUUAUCCUUGUUUAGUUAAAUAUAUAUUAAAUUUUUAUAUUUGUAUAUAAUUGUGUACAAAUUUGUAUAUAUAUAUAUAUAUAUAUAUAUAUAUAUAUAUAUAAUAUAGAAAUAUAUAUAGUUUUACAUAAAUAUAUACUUAUUUUUAAAAAUUAUAUAUUUAUAUCGUGUACAUUUGUGUACUUUCGUGUAUGUAAAAUAAAGCCGAACCCGACAUUAGGGGUAUUCGCGGUGCGGGCGGUGCGGUUUUUUCUUAAAACCGCAAACCAACCCUCGCAUGCCUUUUGGGAAAAUUCGUAAACCGCAACCGCACCGCGUAAUAUAAAAACCGCGUAAACCACACCGCAUAAUUGUGGUGCGGUGUGGUGCGGUUUAUGUGGUUUGCGUGGUUUAUAAAUUCAAAAAAUUUAUACUUUUGAAUGACAAUAUAAAUAUAAUUUCAAACUCUAUGUAUUUAAAAAUAUUUUUUACACACACACAUAUACAAAUUUAAAGUUACGAUACUCAUAUGAUUAUAAUAAUGAUGAAGAUGAAAAAGAUUUCAACACUAACAAAUUAUUUUAUAUGAAAUAAAUAUAAUUAUAAUAUUAUUUUUUUUCGAAGAAAGGGAAAUAAUUCAAUAAAUAAUAGCCAUACGGCAUCUACAAGAAUGAUCGAGUCGAACAAACAUAGAAAAAAAUAACAUGCUUGUCUUCAUACCCAAGAUGAGACAAAUAAGCGAUGUAAAAAUUGACGAUGGUACAUAUAUAGAUCCUUGCUCUGUGUUCACCAUCUUUUCCAAAUACUCCGUUUGAGCUAUCAACCACAAAUGUAAUUCCCGAAGGCUUUUAUCGAUGAAUCCAAACCAACUCUCACAAAAGAAGGAGAGAAAAAUCACACACUCUCACCAGGGAGAGAAAUUAAACUAUAAUCAAAACAAAUUAGAGAAAAUCCAACUACAAACUAAAACAAUUAGAUCUGCACCACGACGCGUAGAGAUAAUCGAUCCACUCACACAUCCAAAGGCCCUUUGGAAGUGAAUAAGAACGAAAAUCGAAAGUUUCGGUGAUAUAGAUCUAAGAAAACUUUCCCCGAAAAUGGAGAUUUAUUAAGAAAAUCAAUGAAAAAACAAGAACAAUCAAAGAAUUAACAAUCAAACAAAAAGAUCUGGGGCUUUCCACCGGAAAACCGAUGGAAGCCCCGUAGGGGAUGAAAAGAGGGAGACGGCUCGAGAGAAGAGAGAAAAAGAAAAGUAGAGUUUUUUAACUGUACUUUAGAACUCAACUUAUAUAAUUAUAAUAUUUAAUUUGUCGUUUAAAAACUAACCUUAAUUUGUAUUGUAAAAUUUUUAAAAUUAAGUUGAGUAACUUGAACAUAUAUAUAUAUAUAUAUAUAUAUAUAUAUAUAUAUAUAUAUAUAUAUAUAUAUANNNNNNNNNNNNNNNNNNNAUAUAUAUAUACAAACAUAAGAAAUAACAUCAUAAUAAAUAAUCUAUCUAUAUAAUAUAAAUAAUUGUGAUUAUAUGUGAUAUAUUUUUAUAUAUUAGAAAAUAGCGGUGCGGUUUGAACCGCGCUUGUAUAAUGUCAAAUCGCAACCCGCACCACACCGCGCGGUUUGUUAAAAUUUCAACCCGCAACCGCACCACGAAAAAGAAAAACCGCAUUUUGCGGUGUGGUGCGGAGCGGUGUGGGCGGUUUGAUGAACACCCCUACCCGACAUGUAUUUUCAUAUUUAUGUACUAAAUAUUGAAANAAAUUUUGGUCAAGCAAAAUGUUAUACAUUUAAUAUAUUGAAAUAUAAUAUAAAAUUUUUAAUAUCAAUUUUAAUAUUUUAAUUUCUAUAUAUCUAAAUAUUUUAAUGUUUAUAAUAAAUUAAAAUUUCAUAUUUUUAUUUAAAAAAUAUUUAACAUUUUAUUUAAGUAUCAAAACCAAUGUUGUAAAAAAUGGGAAUUGGACUUAGUCGGUGAAGGCACCGUCCGGAGAUUAAUCGGAUGAUCGGGGAUUAAUCGGAGUGAUUAAUUGGAUCAUUAAUCGUAAUCAAUUUAAUAUUAUUUUUAAAAUUAUAUAUAUUAAUAUAAUUAUAUAUACUAUAAAUUUAUAGUCUUAUAAAAUCAAAAGAUUAAUGAUUUUUUAUAACAUAAAACAUGCUUUUAUAUACAUAUACAAGUCUAGUUAUCUCAUAUAUAAACUUGAAUUUGAUUGAAUCUGCGAAGGAAAAUAUUGCAGAUUUUUGUAAUUAGAGUCAGGGGCUAAUAUUGAAAAAGUGUAAGGUAAUAAAAACAACUUUAAAUUCUGUUAUUCGUCAUUUUCAUGCCUUUUAUUUUAUUAGAAAUUAAAUUUUAAAUUUUAAAAAAAAUUACUUUUUAUUUUAAUUUUUUUAAAAUUCACCGAUUUUUGACCGACUUUUUCCGAUUAGUCCCGUCUUUUGACCGAUAGAUCCCGUCUUUGACAAAGACCAAUUUUAAGAAAAAACGAUUUUUUCACCGAUUAACGAUUAAUCGAGACGGUGGCCGACCGAACAGCGAUUAAUCGGCUUAAUCCCGAUUAAUCGCCGACUUUUAGAACACUGAUCAAAACUUAAAACUCUAAAAUUAAUUUAGCUUUUCUAUAAUUUUAUAAUUCAAUUUUAUAGCGAAGUAAAUACAAAUACAUAAUUACUACUCAUAUAACUCCCCUAAAUACGACAAACAUUUUUCUCAUCAAAUUUUAAUCAAUAUUUUAUGUCAAAUAUAUUUGAAAAAACCCAUGAUUAGAAAUUUGAAGCAUCACUGAUGAGCUUAAUUUAAAGUUUUCUAUAAUUGUUUUUUAAGAUUUUCUAUAAUUUACUCUUUUUUUUUUGAGUAAAUUUUCUAUAAUUUACUUGGUAACAAACUGCUUGGCACUAUGCAGAAUUGCAGAUGCAAGGCUCAAAAAGAAACCGACCGGCAGACGGCGUAGCAAUGUUUUUAUAUUCUGUCCAUCCAGGUAAAAAAAAUGAUCGAAAAUAGACUAAACUGCAAAUACAAAGCAAUUUUUAAAGCACAAAAGAGUUUGCACAUGUUUAUUUUAUAUGUCUGGUCUGACUACAAUGCAAAACAUAAAACCAGUCUCUCAAUAAUAAUCUGGAGUCUUAACACCCCUUAAAAGUUUACAAUUCUUGCAUGUAUAAACUUAUUCAAACUGGUCCUUAAAACGAUCAAGUGCCACAGCUCGAAGAUUACUUAAACCAAUGUAUGAUUGACCAAGUUGGUCGCUCACUUCUUGUCUCAGUGCAUCCACAAAAUUUACAUCACUCAAUGCCUCUGGUAAAUCCAGGCCAGCCAUAAGACAUUUCCGCAUGACUAGAUGUCGAAGACAGCUAUACUUCCCAGAAACCUUGUAAAGACGUCUAUCAGAGUGCACUUCCAAGAAUUCUCUAACCCACCUCAAGCAGUCACUAAAUGAUUCAUUAACCUUCGCCAGAUAUCCAUUAUAACAAGCACGGCUAACCACUUUCGUGAUGUAGAAGAUGAGGGCGGAAUUUUCUCUAGGAUCACUCAUCAAGUACCGUAUACAAAGCCUUAAGAAUAUACCCAUUUCAAUGAAGUCGUCAUGGUUGCCAUUAAUCAGGAACAGCUUCACAAGUUGGUGGUGAACCAAUCUUGUGGGUGAGUCAAUGGUGCGUACUUGUAGAGGUGAAAAAUAGGACAUAAAAGAACUAACUUUACUGUUCUGAGCGGGAACAUUUAUGUCUCGAAUCAAACGGUUAAGCUUUAAACGAUCACAAGGAUCAAUGACACCAGAAACUUUUCUUU